rnacentral:rRNA from 1 species
AUGUAUCUGGAGGACUACAAUUGUGCCUUAUGCUCCGGCGCCACAGAGGAAAACCGAGCACAUGUUUUCUGGGAUUGCCAAUUUGUACUAGAGUGCUGGCAGACGCUCACACCCGGGAAACAGAGGGGUAUAUGUGCAUAUGAUGAAAUUCAGCUUACAAAGUUCAAACUUCCACCAGAUAUUGCGAUGGAGAUUAUACUUAUGGGUUGCUGGAGCAUAUGGAUGAGCAGAAAUGAGAAGAUUUUCAGAAGAGCAGCACCUAGGAUUCACACUUGGAAACACUACCUGAAGGAGGGCCAACAGGUUACUCAGAUCAGAGCUAAAUCAGUCAAGGCAGGUAAGAUCAACGUCUGGAUAGAAUAG